CGGUGUCUGAAACGUUUCAUUCUUGGUAGCAGGGAAAUAUGAUGUGAUUUAAUCUUUGAGCCUCCACCCACCGUUUUUCGUACUCAAAGGAGCUGUAACGCUUCAGUGAGGUCUCUUUAAUAUCUGUGGCCAGAAGACUAAACCAGACUUACCAGAAGAGCAUUACAGAUUUGUACAUUAACUACAGUAACUAGAGAGUCUUCAAGCCUUCCACUUUUUUUAAACGUUGUAUGUUCUUGUACAGUAGUCUCUUUCAUUGCCACAGACCAGUCUUAUCUUGUGUAUAAGGAUAUCUUACAUAAGACAGGAAAUCAGAGGACAGGAUCUGAUUUAAUCACGUCCCUGCGGCAUGGAGCGUUGCACACAGGACGGCCACUAAUGAUGGGACCUGCUCCACUUCAUCAAAGAAAGUGUUUCUCUCUCUCUCUCUCUCUCUCUCUCUCUCUCUCUCUCUCUCUCUCUCUUUCUCCCUGUCUGUCUUGCUCCACUCUCGGAGGAGCAAGGAUUCAAUCCAUUAAAUAUAGACAAGAACGGUCGCACAAUGAAGAACCUUUUCUGACACUCGCCAUUCGACGUUGGAUUAUAAAAUCAGUCUGAAAUCUACAUCUAGCUUCUCAGUGUUCAGAUCAUUGAUGGGAAAAGACCAUCCGCUCACACGGGCUACGACUAUAAAGCAAAUUUCAUUGGUUUUCUGGCCCUAUUACCACUCAGAUCCAUCUGAUUCUGUUAUCCACCAGAGAAGGUGGGGAGGAUCAGAUCAAAGCCUCUGUGGAAGGAGAGAACCUUCUUUGUGAAAAUCUGUCUCAGCAUUGCAAAGCCAAAGAGAUGAAAGGAAGAUUAAUAGAGGUUGACGAUAGCCACUGACACAUUCAGAAAUGACGCAAUCAAAUAAACAACGGCUUAACAUUUAAUACAACCAGAAGAUCUGUGUCGUAUAUUUCUGGAGAAAAAAACAGACGAGUCCAAACACAAGCUAAGAAUUAGGCAUAAACAUACAUCACUAUUCACAAUAAAUUAAUAAUCACAUCCCGCAGGAUCUUUAUACCCCUCCUCCUGCUCCUUCCUUCCUUCCAAAUCUUCAUCCCUUCCUCCCUCUUUCUUUCCAUGGUCAUAAUCAGCGUCAGCAUAACGAAAGGCCCUGUGGAUGGCAUUUUAGUUUAGCACUGUCAAACAAUCCCAGCACUUAGCACUGCGGAAUGACAGCUUGUUCUAUAUCAUCAAAGCGCCUUCACUGAGAAUUUGAAGCGGCCCUGUUAUAGGCAUUUGCUGUGAGUCAGCACAUACAUGACUGCUUCUGAGAACUCAACACUAGUCUAAUAAAGUGUCUUGUUUUGUCUUUCCCUACUAAAAAAACAGCUUAAGCUGGUGCACUGAUUCAGUUUGUUUCCCACUCUGUUCGGUUGCUAGUUUUAGGAAGGUUUUGGGUUCUUUUCAACAAUAUUAACAACAGAAGUGCAACGGAAAUAGCAGAUCUAUUUUUUUUUUUAUAUUGUGCCUUACAUCCGAGUAAAAUUUUAGUUUCACCAAAAG